rnacentral:lncRNA from 1 species
ACCUCAGGUCCUUUUCAAGCUGGCAUGUGUUUUCAGAAAUGGUUUCGCUGUUUGUUUUUGGAGCUCAGUGUUGCUUAUGUUCCUCAGAAAGUGAAAAUGUUACUUUUUUGAGGUUUACAAAUAAACUUCCUCUUGUAGAUACAUGUUGAUCAGAUCAUCCUAAACUCUCUGGAGAAGGAUGAUUAGAGUGAGAUCGGCUGGGGAAAAGGACGCUUUGCACAGCCCUGAGGAGGUUGCCUCCUUUUUCUUCUUUUUCUUUUUCUUUCUUUCUUUCUUCUUCUUCUUCUUCUUCUUUUUUUUUUUUUUUUUUUUAGCUUCAAUAAGACCCGUGAAGCAGCUUUGACCAGUAAUAAAGAAAGAGCCAAGCCACAGUGACUGUGUGUAACAUGAUGUUGAUGGAAGUUCUUGGUUUCCGCCGAUACAAAUGACUCAUCAGUAUCAAUAGAAUUGUGACUUCUAAUAAUAACACAGUGCAAGACCUUCAAAACAUGUGGUUUUUUAGCCCUAGCUGUUAGUGAAAGGUUGGAAAAUAUUAGUUUGAGCUUUUUUUUUUUCUGAUCUCUUGAUUUCACCCAAGUAUAAAGUUGUUUUUUGUAGGUGUGAUGAUCACACUCUUGUUUUCUCAUCUUACUGUUUUUAGUUUCGUUAUGACCAAAUCACCAAACUCAGAUCAUUUCAUGCUUUAGAAAUCUGUGCGCUAAGCAUCUCCUGUCGGGGCUGUGUUUUGAGGGAAAUGUGGCUGAAAAGCAAAUCCUCCUUGAACAGAGAAAGGGAAAAAUUGGGCUAGACUCUGGUCGGCCACGCCGCCUGCCUCCUACACAGCAUCUAUUGUGGGGGGCUGCGGUCCUGCUGACUAGCCUAUUGCCAUGUGAGUCAUUGUCAGAGGAUUCCAGGAGGAAGGGUGAUAGAAAAGACAAGUCAGAGGAAACAGCCCAAGUAGAGAAGGAACAGGAAAGAGGGUGCUGCCCCAUUUCCACGGCUGAGGGCCACCUGAGCAUCACAGGGAGUCUAGGUUAUAUCUGUGUUGCAGCCCAUCUAUUUGCAUCUCUUUGUGGGAGUGUUCUUGUUUUGUUGCUUCGUCUUGGUUUGUUUUGCCUGCAGUUUGGCCAGACCCUCAGCGAUCACUAUCUUAGUCCUGAACCACAAAGGUCUUACCCAAGAGCCUUUCCUUUUCGCCUUCUGUAGUGAAAGCAACUAAAUUUCUAGUCUGCAAGACCAGCACCUACAUGUACGUGUAUACAGUUCAUUUCUUUCUAGACACUUCAUCUUUGUUUGUUUUUUUUUAAUUUAUUUUUUGUCUUUUGUCUUUUUAGGGCCGCACCCGUGGCAUCUGGAGGUUCCCAUGCUAGGGAUCUAAUUGGAACUGUAGUUGCCAGCCUACACCACAGCCACAGCAUUGCCAGAUCUGAGCUGCAUCUGCGACCUACAUAGACCACAGCUCACAGCAACGCUGGAUCCUUAACCCGCUGAGCGAGGCCAGGGAUGGAACCUGCAACUUCAUGGUUCCUAGUUGGAUUUGUUUCCGCUGCGCCACGAUGGAAACUCCCUAAACACUUCAUCUUUAGAAAUGUUCCAUUGUGUGUUUCCUAGCUACCAGAGUUGGUGGCUCUAGUGCUUGCUGCCUUUUGGAUUUUGAGCACUUAUACCUUGCAGUUACUGUUUUUACUCAUGUGUCUUGGUACCCAGUAAAGGUUCCUUUCUGGGCCUUUUCUUCUUUCCCUCUCUUGGCAAGUCUUUGCAUUUCUUUCUCUGUGUGAACACUCCCCUCUUCUCAUUGGUUUCCAUAGAUUCUGUUUGCUCCCACCUGCUCCCCCACCCUUUCUCACACUGUACUUGGACAGACCUAUGUGGACUCCUGUGCACCGACACGGUUCCCCUCCCUGACCCUGGCUGCUUGCUCACAGAGCCCCGGGUGCUCCCUUUGACAUCCCUGCCAGCAGCUGGUUUCUGGGAGGACUGGACCAGGUGAGAAGGAAAUUGGAAGGGGAGCCUGAACUGGCUUCCUGCUGCCAUCUAAGAAUGCAUCCUGGGAAGGAGGCUGGAUUCUGAGGAACCAGGAAAAGGCCUAAGGGUGGCCCCAGCUUCAGAAGCCAGGCAGGAGACAAGCCCAGGGAAGUCACCCAAGGAGGACAAGAGGUGCAGACAGCACUGCCACCAGCCCUGAGUUGGAGAAUCCUGAUGGAGUCAGAAAUGCAUCUAGGUAGGGGGGCUGAGGAGCAUUAGGGGGAGGAGGAGGCUCAGAACUCGGAGUGUGAAAGAGGAGGGGGACCUGCACAUUGCCUUCUGGCUGUUAAAGUAGUUCACACAGCCGUUUAGAUCCAGGGGGAUGGGUGGGAGAACUGGGGGGCCUCCCCUGUGGCCUUGGGCUCUUUCCCAUCCCCCACCAAGAGAGGGAUUCCCUGACCCUGUGGGGUGCGGGGCUCAUCCUCCGUCCCAGGUGCCCCAACCCCACUCCUCUCCUUCCUUUCUCUGGCUUCCCGUAUGCGUUCCUUGCAUAUGUCUCUCUCGCUAUGACAUCCGCUCCAGGGCCUUUGGUCAUUGUGGAAGUCUAAAAGCCCUGGAAAAGUGUCUGAGCCUAAAGGGCUGCUCAUUAAACACUCAUUCUCUUGCACAGGGAGAAGUGGGUCAGGUCAGGCUCUCACCAGGCAAGCCCAAGUUAAAUGUUCGGGAAAGCCAAAUUCCUUGGCACAGCCUUUAAACCCCUUGGCACAGCCCUCCUUAUAACCUGUUCCCACCCUACCGUUUCAGGUAUAUAUUUUCACCAAUGUUUUCUUCUCACUAAACUUUGACUCACUAUCUCUUGAAUGAAUUUAUGUUUUUAUUCUGUGGAGUUUCCUAAUGGAUGAGUUAUGUAUGUUGACCCUGAAGUCCUUUGAAUUCGCCCUAAAAUUACUCCUUGCACAAAUCAAGAAUGACUUAGUGAGGGGCUUGCUCUUUGCAGGAGACUCUGUUGGGCUCAGGAUGUGGUAUGUGGAAUACAGUCCCCCUGUACAGCCUGAUCCCAGUCUGUGGGGAAGUUGGAGUUUCAUCUUGGAGAUGAUACGUAUAAGCAUGAAGUAUUUGAAGGACAGCACCCAGCAGUACGUGAUCAAGGGACAGGAUGAGUAGUAAAGGAAAGUGGGAGAAAGGAGUUGGGAGGAAAGAGAACUGGCAAAGAUUGAAGGACAGCAGAGCCUUCAAAAGGAGAAGUUGGAUUUGUUUAUAUCCUCAAAAUACUGUGGGAUUUGCUGAAAUGCUCCUUAAUUCCCUAGCUGGUACCUUUCAAGAUUUUAUAGAUGUCAGGUUCAUCAACUUUAUUGUUCCAUAUCUGUCAUUGUCAGUACACUGUCCCAUUCUUGACACUUCCCAAAUUAGACCUUCUUAAGACAUAAUUAAUGGAGGGCUAUAAAGGAUUCUAAGUGCAGACCUGGGAAAUCCUUCUAUAAUAGUACAAGAAGUUUAAAAUGUAUGAAGAGGCCUUUACUUUUAAUGGUUUGAAAAAAAAAUGGGACUAGAACUUAUGUUCAUUAAAACAUGAAGAGUAAGAAAACAAGCCCAAAGUGGUGGACGAUAUUUAUAGGACAAAUAUGGUACUGGUCCAGCAUAUGGGAAGAACACAUGAAUCGAUAAGAAAAGCUAUGGACAGCACAAUAGAAACAUGAUGCUGUACCUUCACAUAUGUAAGCAAGCACUUCACAAAAGAAACCCAAAUGGCUAGUUUAAUGAUCAAAUGUAUGCAAAGUAAAAUUGUAGUGACAUAGUAUACAUAAGUCUCUGGAUUGGCAGACAUUUAAAAAUCUGACAUAGCUGGUGUUGGUGAGGAUGUGGAUGAAUGGAAGUUCUUGUAUGGGGUGGGUAGGAGUAUAAUUUGAUACAAUUACACUGGAAAAUAGUUUAUUACUGAACAUAGUUCACCUUGCUACUAAUUUACAACCCCACAAUCUUACUCCUGGAUAUACCUUUAGGAAAAAAAAUCUUACUCAUGUGCUUCAAGAAACAGGGACAGGAAUGUAUAAAGAAACAUUGUUUGUGAGAGCAAACACUGGAAACAACCCAAAUACUCAUCAACAUUGUAUUGAAUCAACACAUUUUGCUGUAUUUACACACUGGAAUAACUAUUUGGCAGUGACGCAUGAGCUAAUAACAUCACCUAUGGGAGGGUGUGGAGAGGCCACCUGCUUGGUGGUUAAGAGCAAAGAUUCUGCUCGUGUUCAAAAUUAGGUUCUACCACUUAUUUUUGUGACCUUGGGCACGUUUCUUAACUUCACUGUCCAUCAGUUUUCCUCAUCUGUAUGUUGAGGAAGGUGUUUGUUAAGCAACCAAAAAUGCAUGCAUCAAUAUGGAUGAAUCCUAAAAUCACAAUGUUGAAUGAAAGAAACAAGACACAGAAGACUAGGUACACAAAUGACUCCAUUUAUGAAAAUUCGCAAGUAUGCAGAACUAAGUAUAUGGCUUGUUACCGAGACCAAGUUCCCACCGCUCACUCUGCUCACUGCUUGACAGGCCAGAAAAUCAAGAGAUGACUUUUUGGGGCAAGGAAUAGCAACUUUAUUCAGAAAGCCCAUGGACCCAGAAGAUGGCAGACUAGUGUCCCAAAGUACCUUCAUACCCAAGUUAGAAUUCAGGCUUCUUUUGUACUAAAAUGGCUGAGAGCAAAGUCAAGCAUUUCCUGGUUCUGGUCAGCCUCUGGAGGGACUGUGUUAAUUUCUUCCUGCCUGCAGUCAUUCAUAGUUGGGCCUGGUGGGGAUGUUUCUUGUGAGCUAAACAAAGGUAUUUUAGUUUAACACUGAUAACCUGAGAGGCAGAGUUCCCAGAGUUGGGUCAUUAUGUAUAAUUUAAGCUGAUAGGCAACCUCCCUUUCAUGAUGAACUUGUAGCAGAAGCAAUAGGAUACAAAGGUUAAAGUAAAAGAUCCCAUAUGGAGUCAGAUUUGUUCUUCCCUAUUAUAGUUUAGGGCUGUAUAUAUAAAUAUUAAAGCAAUACAGAAAAUUGAGAGAAUGAUUACCACACACACACACACACACACACACACACACACACACGAAAUCAGUAUACAAAAGACAAAAAAAACCAAAACAAUAGGAGUUCCCCUCGUGACUAGGAACCAUGAGAUCUCAGGCUCAAUCCCUGGCCUCGCUUAGUGGGGUCAAGGAUCUGGCGUUGCUGUGAGCUGUGGUGUAGGUUGCAGAUGUGGCUCGGAUCCCAUGUUGCUGUGGCUGUGGUGUAGGCCGGCGGCUACAGCUCCUAUUCGACCCCUAGCCUGGGAACUUCC